CACAGGCAUGAUUUGACAGGAUAAUGCCCUCACUUGAUAAAAGGAGAGACUCUCUGUCAGCUGCCCGCAUCCUCCCUGAAGCUCUGGAAUCUGACUUCAUGGAGCAUUUGAGCAGCUAAGCUUUUCCUGACCCCCUCCCUCCCACCACCACUCCCGCCUUCCCCCAGUUGCUGAGCAUAAUUGAGAAUUAAUUGCAUGUCUGCUUAUUAUUUUGCUUACUUAAUUUGGUCUAAACGUUGUUCACACUCCAGACUUAAGGCCUGGAAGUGGCUGUCUUCAGAGUUCCUAAGAAGCAAUGGACAAAGACCCAGAGUCUGUGCUGGGGGCCUUGGAAGGCUCUAAACCCUGAGCAGCAGUUUACAGAAGAGGCGAACAAUAUGGAUAUGGAGACAAUCUCUUAGGAGACUUGGGAGUGCUCUCCUGUAGGAUCCAAGACUUCUCAUCUUUCCGAUGCGAACUGAAUUAUGCUAGCAUGUCAACCAGGACAUUUCAGAGAAGCAUCGAACAGAAACGUGUUAGUAAACCUCUUACCAGAACACCCUCACUAUCGAUUUUUUUUUGUCACUAAAACACAAACCAGCAUGGGACAUUAAACAGGACCUUUGGUAUUUGGUGUUGGGAAAAUGCCCCCUUGGAUCUAGAGCUCUUUAGGAGUAAUGGCUUCCCGAAAAGAACUAUAGAGAAAAAGAAGGCAGAAUAACCCAGGUGCCUGAGCAUCUUUGAGGAGAGGUUGUCUGUACAGGUGUAUGAGGAAAAGAAAAUCUUAUUUAUGAAUGGAGUGUGGUGAUACACCCUAUCCCGAGCUUUUGUCCCCACCAGCAAGAACAUGCUCAGGACAACCGGAAUCUUCUGCGGCAAAAGCUUUAUUGCUUACUUCUUUAGGAACAAGAGGAGAAGAAUAGGGGCGAAUGGCAAAACCCUGUCCCUUUUAUGGAGGAUUGUCCUCCGCCUCGGACAUGUCGCUCCCUGAUUGGCUGCAGCCCAUCAACCGAGUUGUCGUCAAGGGGAAGGCAGAGCACAUGGAGUGGAGAACUACCCCGGCACAUGCGCAGAUUAUUUGUUUACUACUUAGAACACAGGAUGUCGGCGCCAUCUUGUAAUGGUGAAUGUGAGGGUGGCUCCUCACAACAUCCCUUUAAUCCCAGUACUGAAGGCAGAGGCAGGUGGAUUUCUGAGUCUGAAGACAGCCUGGUAUAGAGAGCUAGUUCCAGGGCUAUACAAGAAGACUCUGUCUUGCAAAAAAUGAAACAAAACAAAAUAAAACAAAUGAAUAAACAAAAAGAAAGAAGCUUCAAUUUUUAUAAAAUAAAAACUAAUUUACUUUA
rnacentral:lncRNA from 1 species